GACGGAGGGUGCAAGCGUUGUUCGGAAUUACUGGGCGUAAAGGGCGCGUAGGCGGUCUGUUAAGUUCGGUGUGAAAGCCCCCGGCUCACCUGGGGAACUGCGCCGGAAACCGACAGACUCGAGUACCGGAGAGGAGGGUGGAAUUCCUGGUGUAGCGGUGAAAUGCGUAGAUAUCAGGAGGAACACCGGUGGCGAAGGCGGCCCUCUGGACGGAUACUGACGCUGAGGCGCGAAAAGCGUGGGGGAGUCAAACAGGA
rnacentral:rRNA from 1 species